rnacentral:rRNA from 1 species
UACAGAGGGGGCAAGCGUUGUUCGGAAUUACUGGGCGUAAAGGGCGCGUAGGCGGCCUUCUAAGUCGAACGUGAAAUCCCCGGGCUCAACCCGGGAACUGCGUCCGAUACUGGAAGGCUUGAAUCCGGGAGAGGGAUGCGGAAUUCCAGGUGUAGCGGUGAAAUGCGUAGAUAUCUGGAGGAACACCGGUGGCGAAGGCGGCAUCCUGGACCGGCAUUGACGCUGAGGCGCGAAAGCGUGGGGAGCGAACAGG